AUGAAAAAAUAAUUUUAUGUUGGAAAGUUAAUCUUAUAAACUGUGUUGAACAUAAUCGAUGGAUUCUAAAUGAUCAUAGCUGGUUGACCUUCUAAUUUGUAUUAAAUAUAAUAAAAAACCCGCUCGAUCACAUUUAGCGGGUAUGACCAACGGCUAGCAACAUUUUAGACGGAUUUACGGUUGGUUGACCAGGCUACAUGAAUUGAUUAAAAAAAAUGGUAAAUUGAUUGUUUAUGGUCUAAAAUAUAUAUAUUAGAUCGGUAAAGGGACAAACAUAAUGUUUUUACUCCAUAAACACUGAAGCAAGACCUCGGUUUUUGUGGAGCGAAACCUCGCGUAUUUUCGCUGAGGCGCUGUUUGCUAAUUCGUUGAUACCAGACAGAACUACUAAAUGAAAACUAAAUCCAAAUUUGCAUGUGUAUACCAAGUGAGAUGAUAAAACGAUGAGUAAAUCAUGAUUUAUUGACAAAACAAUUCGAUUUCUACACAUGUUUAAUUUUUGUAAGAAAUCAAUCAGGGCAUGUCAACGGCAGUCCAAACCCGUCUGAAAUGUAAAAACACGACUGUUGUGAUGUUGUUACGAGGGAAACGUGCAAGUUGUGUUAUAAACUAAACACACAAUCAUCAAUCAACACUGAGGGUCUGCACGUCCACAUGGUCUUCAACGCGUUCAGCCACACCCCCUGUUGAAUCUAUAGGCGGACCGGUCUUCAUAUAUAAUGUGGAGGAACAUUGUGUACCUUCAGUUCUCUGGCACUUUCACCUCACGGCGGUCCAUAUCAUCAGGUUCACGCUUCGGCAUUGCACAACCUUUCGGGAAGUUCGUUUCAUCCGUGUGGUGCACAAAAACAGCAGCGAUGAUCAUCAGGCUCGGCAGACUGACUCCUGGAUACUUCCGUCUCCUGCAGAGGCAGGUAGCAGGAGAGGUUCAGGCCCCGGUGCAUGACCGCUCCGUCAACCAGAUCGCCAUGAUGCUGGCCAUCAUGGGCCUUAGCCUGUCCUACUACAGUGCCAAACAGAUGACAGAGAAGGUUCGCCAUGAGCCCGCCCCGUGAAGAUGUGUUCUUCGGCAUCCGGGGAAGACCAAGCCAAACUGAAGAUGCAGUUGGAUAUUCAGAUGUUGAAGAUGUUCAGACUCUGUCACACUACACCUUUCUAUAACUGCUGGAUCUCCAGGGAUCACGCACACCAUGGGACUUCUGCUUAGGAGUUCUCUUGCUUUAGUUUAGCUCUCAAUGGGGUCUGGAAGGGCUUGAAUGUUGUGGCCUGAGUUUCAAUAGCUGCUGUGGUACAUGCAUCAGAGAGUCAGUCAGUUCUGCUGGGGAAAAUACAGGGAAAAAACUCGAGCUCCAUCAGCGCAGGACUAGGUAUGGAGCUCAACUCUGAGCCAUAAUGUCUUUUAAAGGGAAGGACCUCUGCAUUUGAGAUGUACCAAGCAACUAUUGAAAGCAGGGCCACUGCACAAGGGUGAAAUGCUGGUUUUAUUUCAGAUUUCCCCCAAAAAGAUGCUAUUGAUGAACGUCAGAGCCUUGAGGACUUAUAGUGGAGGUACUGCUUUACAAUACUACACUUGUGUUAGACACUUUAGGAAAUUUAUUGCAGUACUACAGAGACCGUUUGAGGACCUUAUGUUAAAGUUACUUGCUCCUUUCAUAAUAACACAAAAAACCUCUUCAUAUCAUCUUGUUUGUCCUGACAAAUGGCUCCAAUCCACUGUUUUUUUCUAUGUGCAAUUGCAUGAGUUUGAAGCUGUUUUUUUUUUUUUUUUUUUUUUUUUUUUUAGUGAAACCAAUCCAUAUGUUGUUUCUAAUACUUUUUAUGAUAAUGUGAUGAUAAUGAUGAAUGUACUGUGUUGUUAUAUUUUUAAGACACAAUGAUCAAAUAAAGCUGUGAAUUAUUUGAACACGA